rnacentral:rRNA from 1 species
GACGAACGCUGGCGGCGUGCCUAAUACAUGCAAGUCGAGCGCAGGAAGUCGACGGAACCCUUCGGGGGGAAGUCGACGGAAUGAGCGGCGGACGGGUGAGUAACACGUAAAGAACCUGCCCUCAGGUCUGGGAUAACCACGAGAAAUCGGGGCUAAUACCGGAUGGGUCAUCGGACCGCAUGGUCCGAGGAUGAAAGGCGCUCCGGCGUCGCCUGGGGAUGGCUUUGCGGUGCAUUAGCUAGUUGGUGGGGUAAUGGCCCACCAAGGCGACGAUGCAUAGCCGACCUGAGAGGGUGAUCGGCCACACUGGGACUGAGACACGGCCCAGACUCCUACGGGAGGCAGCAGUAGGGAAUCUUCCACAAUGGACGAAAGUCUGAUGGAGCAACGCCGCGUGAACGAUGAAGGCCUUCGGGUCGUAAAGUUCUGUUGUAAGGGAAGAACAAGUGCCGCAGGCAAUGACGGCACCUUGACGGUACCUUGCGAGAAAGCCACGGCUAACUACGUGCCAGCAGCCGCGGUAAGAC